rnacentral:misc_RNA from 1 species
GGGUUUCCCACCCGAUGCGACAAUGCGAUAGACCGCUGUAUUCGCGUCCGCGCCGAGCGGCAGAAACGUGACUUCGAGAAUCGCCAGCCUGUACUGCUCGCGCAGGCUGGCGAUGAUUUGUUCAUAAGUAAUCGCCGGAGGUUCGAGCAUCAGCGCAGCCGACUCCACGUCCCGUUAUCGCCGCCGGAGAAGCGGUAGAUCGCGCCGUCCGGG